UACGUAGGGUGCGAGCGUUAAUCGGAAUUACUGGGCGUAAAGCGUGCGCAGGCGGUUUUGUAAGCCAGAUGUGAAAUCCCCGGGCUUAACCUGGGAAUGGCAUUUGGGACUGCAAGGCUUGAGUGUGGCAGAGGGGACUGGAAUUCCUGGUGUAGCAGUGAAAUGCGUAGAUAUCAGGAGGAAUACCGAUGGCGAAGGCAGGUCUCUGGGCUGACACUGACGCUCAUGCACGAAAGGCGUGGGGAGCAAACAGGAUU
rnacentral:rRNA from 1 species